GUGAUGGUCCCUGCCACAGAGAAGGAAAAUGCACGUCACCUCUGGAACCAGUGGGAUAGAAGAGAUUUUUUGAAGUUGUAAAUUGGAAGCCCAGCCGGGUGAAGAAUCAACAGAGUAGCAGUUUAGUUGGAGAGAAACUUGCAUCAUUUCCACAAGCAUUGG